rnacentral:lncRNA from 1 species
UUCAUCAAAACAGCAUCCUCACGGUGUCCCGAUAGUGCCCAGAAACGGAAAAAUAAAACAUGGAUGAGCUAUAUUGAGAAGGGUGUUGUUGUUUAUGGAAUCGGUCGGCCGGAGGGUUUCGCGGUGUGUUGUGGGGAAUGGUGGAGGACGAAAAGGGUGGCCGAAAAUAGUUGGCCGGCGGUCGGUGGUGUUCGUCCGGUUAUGGUUUUAUGAGAGAGAGAUUUACAGUGAGAGGGUGGAAGAUGACGGUGUCGCCGGCGAAAAUGGGUGGUUUGCACGGUGGUGUGGAUGAAGAUAUGGGUGUGGGUGUAAUGGAUGGUGGUUUGGAAGAGGAGAUAGUGGAAGUUGCGGAGGUGAGGUUCGAAGGUAGGUGGAGGCGCGAUUGUGAGUGUCCGUGGAGGAAGCAAAUGAAUAAUGCCUUUUCCAAUUUUUCA